UAAUCCUGGAUUAAUUGGCCUUAAUGAAGUUGAAUUAAUUACUAGCUGCUUGUAAAGAACUUUGAACUACCUUAGUACAAAAUGGCAUUAAAGAAACAGAAAGGAACCAGCAUCGCAUUAACAUUAAGAACAAAUCCCAAAUAAUCGCAAUUCUGCAGGCCGUUUCCUGUCAAUCAUUUCCCAGGGACCAUGCUCAGCCUGUGAAACUGUGGGGGACCCCGGAAUCUGCCGCAGAGAAGGAUGUAUUUGUGGACUGGAAGUUUGGGGUCAGUUUCAUGGAGGGUUUUUGUCAUUUACUUCCUCAAACUGUGACUAGUGCGGAACAUAAUAAGGAGGAAGCUUCCUGAAGUUGUGGCAGGCCAAAGGCAUAGCUGUUGGUGGAUGAACGGGUAAGCAAAUGGUGGUCCGUCCACUCAGUGGAAUACUACACAACCACGAGAAGGCAAUCACGAUGUGGUGACAUGUGGCCACGUGGACGAAUCUCAAAUGCACUAUACUAGGGGUGCAGGAACAAGGAAGUUACACCAGGCAUUGACUGCUUUAAGAUUCCAUUUCUCGGAGAGCCAAAUUUGUAACUAAGUUAAUGCUCAGUUUGGUGACACAGGGCUUCGCAUAAGUGACUCCAUUUUGGGCCGGUUGUCGU